CAGGGCCUGCUGGACCUCCUCCACUCACCAGCCCCAGCCCCAGCCAAACAAAGCCCUAAGGCAAUUUGUACCAAGGCCAGGCAAUGGGAUUUCCCACAAGGGAUGAACAAAGGGGCAUUAGCAGGAACAGUGGGGGGUUCUCACAACCUCCCCGCCCCCUCACGCCAGUGUGCAGGGCACUGGAUCUGUCUGCUUAGGGGCAUUGGAACGUGGCCACCCAGAUUGCGGUGAGUCCAUGCAGGGGCGGAGGGGGGGUGCACCCGGGGCGGACUCGCUCCUCCCUCUCUCUUUCUCACCCAGGCUGGAGCUGGCAGCCUCCUGAAGCCAGAGCGCUCCCCAGACGUCCAGCUCCGCACGCGCCUGCUCCUGCAGCGACUCCAGGAGACCACGACCAGCAAGAACCACCAGCUGAUCACUCAGGCGCUGCAGGCCCUGCGCCAGGAGCUGCAGGGGGAAGCAUUUGCCUCCCCUCAUGAAGGGGAGAGGUGGCGUUUGCUCCGGGAGCCUGCGCUGAACAGAAGGGAUGAUGCCAGGAGGAGAAACAGGAAGGCCGUGGUGCUGCAUCCUGUGGCUGCAGAGAGGAGACUGGUGAAGCUCACCUGGAGGACAGGCAGCCCCAUUGCCGGCAACACCAGGGAGGCAGCCUGCCCCAAAAUCCAUCGCUGACAGCCUCAAGAUGAGAGCAGCUGGGUCAUGCAAACCUGCUCUGUCCCAUGUCAAAGCAGCACUGCCCUGCUGGAGGAGAGCCCAGUACAGGCAGGAGCAGAGCCAGAGAAGAUCUGGGGGUGGGGGCAAGCCCCUCCGGCCCAGCUCCUGAGCCUCUGGGCAUGGUGAAAGAGCCAGAGGCUCCUAGACCCACAUGGCCAGCAAGACCCCAGCUCUAAACCAAGGACUGACCUUCCCCCACUCUGCUGCAGGCGUGACACUGGAUUUCUAACUCGGCCUGAUUGGUCCUGGCCUUCUUACUCCACCCUGGCCACCUGUGGGAUAGCUCAGCCAGGAGUUAACCCCCUGCUUGUCAGGGAUCUGUAGCUGGUGAAUGGUGGUCCACUUCUGUGCGUGCCCAUCCCCCAGUGAGGACAAAGCGGGACAUGUGCGUGACGGGGACCGAAAUGCAAAGGCCACCUCUCUGAACUAAAGGAAAAGAAGUCACUUGGUUCCAUAGGGUGUAAUUAACCUGUGGAACUCGCUGCAGGUACAGAGAAGAGAAUCCAAUGGUUAGAAGUGAGGGAACAGUCAGGGCUCCUGGGUUCUGUCCCAGCAACUAGAGGCAAAUCGCUUCUCCUUGUGCCCCAAUUUGCCCUUCUGCCCAAUAAAGGAUAUUAAACACA